UACGUAGGGUGCAAGCGUUGUCCGGAAUCAUUGGGCGUAAAGCGCGCGUAGGUGGCUUCGUAAGUCCGUUGUGAAAGUCAAAGGCUCAACCUUUGAAUGCCGAUGGAUACUGCGAAGCUAGAGUACGGAAGAGGCGAGUGGAAUUCCUGGUGUAGCGGUGGAAAUGCGCAGAUAUCAGGAGGAACACCAAUGCGAAGGCAGCUCGCUGGGACGU
rnacentral:rRNA from 1 species